CUACGGGGCGCUGCAGUGGGGAAUUUUGCGCAAUGGGGGGAACCCUGACGCAGCAAUACCGCGUGAGUGAAGAAGGCCUUUGGGUCGUAAAGCUCUUUUCUGAAGGAAGAUAGUGACGGUACUUCAGGAAUAAGCACCGGCUAACUCCGUGCCAGCAGCCGCGGUAAUACGGAGGGUGCGAGCGUUGUUCGGAUUUACUGGGCGUAAAGGGCACGUAGGCGGCCUGGCAAGUUAAGGGUGAAAUCCCGGGGCUUAACUCCGGAACUGCUCUUAAAACUGCCAAGCUAGAGAUAGUCAGAGGCGGGUGGAAUUCCUGGUGUAGAGGUGAAAUUCGUAGAUAUCAGGAGGAACACCGGUGGCGAAGGCGGCCCGCUGGGGCUAUUCUGACGCUAAGGUGCGAAAGCGUGGGGAGCGAACGGGAUUAGAUACCCUUGUAGUC
rnacentral:rRNA from 1 species